ACGAAAAAGUACUAAUCAAAUUAAAUAAAAUAGGUAGAAACAAAAGAAUAGCGAAGAAGAAGCAAAUGCGCUUCACGCUAAUUCCAAGUACCAACACAAACAAAUUCAAUGUUUGGUGAAGCAACUUGCUUAGUGGCGGACGGGUGAGUAACGCGUGAAUAAUCCUGCCCCAUACAGGGGGAUAGCCUACGGGAAACCGGGAUUAAAACCGCAUAACACUUUAUCACCGCAUGGUGAUGAAGUCAAAUCGAUUAAGAGGUAUGGGAUGAGUUCGCGUCUGAUUAGCUAGUUGGCGGGGUAAAGGCCCACCAAGGCGACGAUCAGUAGCCGGCCUGGAGAGGGUGACCGGCCACACUGGAACUGAGACACGGUCCAGACUCCUACGGGAGGCAGCAGUGGGGAAUAUUGCACAAUGGGGGAAACCCUGAUGCAGCGACGCCGCGUGAGUGAAGAAGGUCUUCGGAUCGUAAAACUCUGUCCUUGGUGACGAAGGAAGUGACGGUAACCAAGGAGGAAGCCCCGGCUAACUACGUG
rnacentral:rRNA from 1 species